GACGAACGCUGGCGGCGUGCUUAACACAUGCAAGUCGAGCGGUAAGGCCCUUUCGGGCGUACACGAGCGGCGAACGGGUGAGUAACACGUGGGUGACCUGCCCUCAGCUCUGGGAUAAGCCUGGGAAACCGGGUCUAAUACUGGAUAUGACUCCAUGACGCAUGUUGUGGGGUGGAAAGCCUUGUGCGGCUGAGGAUGGGCCCGCGGCCUAUCAGCUUGUUGGUGGGGUGAUGGCCUACCAAGGCGACGACGGGUAGCCGGCCUGAGAGGGCGACCGGCCACACUGGGACUGAGACACGGCCC
rnacentral:rRNA from 1 species